rnacentral:misc_RNA from 1 species
GAUGAAGAACGUAGCGAAAUGCGAUACUUGGUGUGAAUUGCAGAAUCCCGUGAACCAUCGAGACUUUGAACGCAAGUUGCGCCCGAAGCCAUUAGGCCGAGGGCACGCCUGCCUGGGCGUCACACGUCGUUGCCCCCCCAUCUACUCCUUCGGGAUUGCGGGGGGCGGAUGAUGGCCUCCCGUGCGCCUCGUCGCGCGGUUGGCAUAAAUGCCAAGUCCUCGGCGACGCACGCCACGACAAUCGGUGGUUGCGAAACCUCGGUUGCCCGUCGUGUGCGGUCGUCGCGCAUCGAGGGCUCGAAAAAAUUGCCGGGCUCCGGCUCGGCUUUCAACGCGACCCCAGGUCAGGCGGGGUUACCCGCUGAAUUUAAGCAUAUCAAUAAGCGGAGGA